GCCGGGAGGGGGAGGCCAGGAAGGGGGUCGGGCGGGAGGGGAGGAGACCUCGGAGCAGCCAAUCGGCGCUCAGCCCAUCAGCUGACCGCUUUUGCUUACACCAGGUGCACGCCGGCUGCGGGGAGCACAAAGCGGGGCGCAUCGAGGGCGCCGGCAGCGAGCCGGGGAGCUAGGCGAGGCCCGUGCGCCAGCGGCCGCAGCGCCCUCCGAUUGGGGAGAGGGGCUGGUGGUGUUAGCCAGGCGGCGGAAUCCGCGCGGUGGCAUCCCUAGUUGCCCCGGGUGCCUUUCUCGGGACCUGGCCGCUCUCUGCCUCGCCCUCUGCGCCCCACUUCUCCAGUCCUCCUUCCCAAUCCUGCCUGCCUCUGCCCCGACCCCGGAGAGUCGGAUUGAGCCCAGGCCCGCGCAGCAGCUGUUGCUCGUGUCGUUGCCUCUCCUCCUGUCUUGGUGCUCUGCUGGGAACCCCCCAAGGAGCCGCUGCGCGCUGCGGGCUGGGAGGGAGGCGCCGUUCGGCCGGUCGUCCUCCUCCUGCCGCCGCCGCGGGUCCGUGCGCACCCCACACCCCCGCCGGCCGGGCCUCGGGGCACAUCUCCAGACUUUGAUUUGGCUGAAGUAACUUAUACCACAGAGCUGUGGGCAUGCCUGGAAUUGAGAGACACAGUUAAAAGACUCCCAAUUGCUUCCUGCCUUUUUGAAAACUACUGAAAACCAUCCCUUCAGACUCCGGAGUUUUACACAUCUCAACCGAGACUUUGCUUGAAUGUUUACAUUUUCUGCUUGCUGUCCUACAUACCACUAUCCAGUGUUCACCUUUUGUUAAAACUUAGGCGUGUCAGGAGUUG
rnacentral:lncRNA from 1 species